UACGGGGGGGGCAAGCGUUGUUCGGAAUUACUGGGCGUAAAGGGCGCGUAGGCGGCCUGCUAAGUCGAACGUGAAAUCCCCGGGCUCAACCCGGGAACUGCGUCCGAUACUGGCAGGCUUGAAUCCGGGAGAGGGAUGUGGAAUUCCAGGUGUAGCGGUGAAAUGCGUAGAUAUCUGGAGGAACACCGGUGGCGAAGGCGACAUCCUGGACCGGUAUUGACGCUGAGGCGCGAAAGCCAGGGGAGCAAACGGG
rnacentral:rRNA from 1 species